UACGUAGGUGGCAAGCGUUGUCUGGAUUUAUUGGGUUUAAAGGGUGCGUAGGCGGCUUUUUAAGUCAGUGGUGAAAGCCGAUCGCUUAACGAUCGAACUGCCAUUGAUACUGAGAGGCUUGAGUAUAGUUGAGGUAGGCGGAAUUGACAGUGUAGCGGUGAAAUGCAUAGAUAUUGUCAAGAACCCCAAUUGCGAAGGCAGCUUACUACACAAUGAUUGACGCUGAGGCACGAAAGCGUGGGGAUCAAACAGG
rnacentral:rRNA from 1 species